rnacentral:rRNA from 1 species
UACGUAGGGUCCUAGCGUUGUCCGGAAUCAUUGGGCGUAAAGAGCGUGUAGGCGGCCCGGUAAGUCCGCUGUGAAAGCCGGGGGCUCAACCCUCGAAUGCCGGUGGAUACUGUCGGGCUAGAGUGCGGAAGAGGCGAGUGGAAUUCCUGGUGUAGCGGUGGAAUGCGCAGAUAUCAGGAGGAACACCGGUGGCGAAGGCGGGAUCCUGGGCCAGUACUGACGCUGAGGAGCGAAAGCGUGGGGAGCAAACAGG